GGCGAUGAACCAGGCGCCGCCCUUUUAGGGAGGAAAGUCCGGGCUCCGCAGGGCAUGAUGCCGGGUAAUACCCGGGCUCCGGGCCUUUGGUCCGGGGACAGAUAGCGCAACAGAAAGUAUACAGCCCAAGGUUUUCCCGCAGGCGGGAAAACCCGGCAAUGGUGAAAAGGCGGGGUAAGAGCCCACCUCGGCUGCGGCAACGCCGCCGGAAAACGGCAAACCUCAUCAGGAGCAAAGUCAAACAGCGCCGGGGACGGCCCCAGGGCCCAUCCCCGAAGCCGGCGGCCCGCCGGUUAAGCGCGGGUAGACUGCGCGGAGGCGUCCGGAAACGGCCGCCCGAGACAGAUGGCGCCUAAAAGGGCUUGCGGGAUUAACGGGUGGGGUUUUUCGCAAGAAAACCCCGACGCAAAAUGCCGCAGCUUCUUUAAACAGAACCCGGCUUAUGGUUCAUCGCUUUUU
rnacentral:RNase_P_RNA from 1 species